CAUGCCAUGCAUGAGUGAAAUAUGUGUUUUAAGCUUUUAGUGAACUUAGAUAUACAAGAGUUGCAUGUAAUUUUGCCUAUUUAAGAAGACCUUUGUUCAAACAUUUUUUUUUCUUGGAACCUUUUGUCAUUUUGAUGGUUUUGAAAAGCUUACAUAGCUUCAUUUAUCUCCAUAUGUCUCUCAAAAUUCCCUUCCCUAAAAGUGUCCCACCAUUCUAUUCCAAGACUUGAGAAUAGCUAGAAAGAUCUCUUGGUGGUGAUCAUUGUAGCUAUUUGAAGAAGUUUGAAAAGCUACAAAGUUGUCCAUCUACCAUCGCUGCUGUUCUUCCACCAUGAUCGCCCUUCCCUUUCACAUCUGACGAUUAAUGGUUCCAAAUAUGCUAGGAUUCUAUCUGUUUAUGGAAGGAUAUGCACAACAGUGUGUUCUCGAUUGUAGCUCGAACUCCGCCUCCGGACCGACCUGAACAC